rnacentral:rRNA from 1 species
UACGGAGGGGGCUAGCGUUGCUCGGAAUCACUGGGCGUAAAGGGUGCGUAGGCGGGUCUUUAAGUCAGGGGUGAAAUCCUGGAGCUCAACUCCAGAACUGCCUUUGAUACUGAGGAUCUUGAGUCCGGGAGAGGUGAGUGGAACUGCGAGUGUAGAGGUGAAAUUCGUAGAUAUUCGCAAGAACACCAGUGGCGAAGGCGGCUCACUGGCCCGGUACUGACGCUGAGGCACGAAAGCGUGGGGAGCAAACAGG